UCACUAUUCCAAAGAGCCUGUACCCUGCAAUAAAUUUACAUAACCGACCAUAUUAAUUUAAUAUGAACAGCAACGGGAUUUUGUGUGAACAGUUAAAGAAGGGAUUUCAUAGAAAAGGAAUAUGUAAUUCACCAUUCUAAGAAACACGACAAACAGAAUAGACAAAGUUUGGUCAUUUAUGACAAACUGUUAUAGUCUGUUUUAAACUUACAGGAAAAAAAAAAUUGUCACAAUGAACGAAUUUGCAUUCAUUAUUAAGCAAUCAAUAUCUUAACACCAAGGCAAACUAGGUUAGUGCCUAUUCUUUAGUUAUGUUCACAUAGAACCAGAAAAUGAAAAGACACACAGAACCAAUUUUAUGAAAAUAUAUAUUUUACAUGACAACAAUAAGUUCCAAUUUUAUCAGUGGCACUUUGAAUAGGUACUAAGAGCAAUCACAAUUCACAGAAUAGGAGAACUAAUCCCAGCGGGGAUAUAAAACCAUGCCUAAGAAAUACUAAUAUAAAGUCAAAAUAAUAUCUUGCAUUUUUUUCCCCUAAAAUAAGAGGUUCUAAAGUCUUUAACCAGCAGUCUCACAUCAUGUCUGAAUAAAAACAGUUAAAAUGAAGUAGAAAUCCGUAUGUCACUAAAAAUUAUUUUAGCAAUCCUCUUAACUGUAUGCAACAGCCAACUAUAUAGUUUUGCACACUUUUAGCCUGCUUAAUCUUGGUUGGGGCCAAACAGAAACUUUUGGAAAGGGAAACUAACCAAACAAAGCCAAAUGGAAAGUGAUUCAAGCAAGAUUAGCCAGUAAACAUUAAAAGUUCAUCUCAUUAAAUAAAGAGGAAAGUAAAAUCAUCCAAAGAAGAAUGGAUAUCACAAGCAUAUGUUUAAAGACGAUACAAUCAAAUAUAGGGUCAACAGAAUUACUCCCUCCUCCAUCAGGUAGUCCA
rnacentral:misc_RNA from 1 species